rnacentral:rRNA from 1 species
UACGUAGGGUCCGAGCGUUGUCCGGAAUUACUGGGCGUAAAGAGCUCGUAGGUGGUUUGUCGCGUUGUUCGUGAAAACUCACAGCUCAACUGUGGGCGUGCGGGCGAUACGGGCAGACUUGGAGUACUGCAGGGGAGACUGGAAUUCCUGGUGUAGCGGUGGAAUGCGCAGAUAGUCAGGAGGAACACCGGUGGCGAAGGCGGGU